rnacentral:rRNA from 1 species
GAGUGGACGUACCUCUGGUGUUCCGGUUGUCACGCCAGUGGCACUGCCGGGUAGCUAAGUACGGAAGGGAUAACCGCUGAAAGCAUCUAAGCGGGAAGCCCACCUCAAGAUGAGAUCUCCCUGGGGCCUUGAGCCCCCUUAAGAGCCGUUGAAGACUACAACGUUGAUAGGCUGGGUGUGGAAGUGCAGUAAUGUAUGAAGCUAACCAGUACUAAUUGCUCGUGAGGCUUGACCAUAUAACACUCAAGCAGUU